CAGCCGCCGCGGGAAUACGAAGGGCGCAAGCGUUACUCGAAAUUACUGGGCGUAAAGCGUGCGUAGGUGGUGGUUUAAGUCCGUUGUGAAAGCCCUGGGCUCAACCUGGGAAUUGCAGUGGAUACUGGGUCACUAGAGUGUGGUAGAGGAUAGUGGAAUUUCCGGUGUAGCAGUGAAAUGCGUAGAGAUCGGAAGGAACAUCUGUGGCGAAGGCGACUAUCUGGGCCAACACUGACACUGAGGCACGAAAGCGUGGGGAGCAAACAGGAUUAGAUACCCCCGUAGUCCCUGUCUCUUAUAC
rnacentral:rRNA from 1 species